CUUGUGGAUAGGGGUGAAAGGCUAAUCAAACUCGGUGAUAGCUGGUUCUCCCCGAAGCUAUUUAGGUAGCGCCUCGGACGAAUACCACAGGGGGUAGAGCACUGUUUCGGCUAGCGGGUCAUACCGACUUAGCAAACCGAUGCAAACUCCGAAUACCUGUGAGUACUAUCCGGGAGACAGACGGUGGGUGCUAAUGUCCAUCGUCAAGAGGGAAACAACCCAGACCGCCAGCUAAGGCCCCAAAUUUCUAGUUAAGUGGGGAAACGAUGUGGGAAGGCAUAGACAGCUAGGAGGUUGGCUUAGAAGCAGCCACCCUUUAAGAAAGCGUAAUAGCUCACUAGUCGAGUCGGCCUGCGCGGAAGAUGUAACGAGGUCCCUCCCCACAGAGCUUUACGACCCCGAAGGCCUUCAUCACUCACGCGGCAUGGCUGGAUCAGGCUUUCGCCCAUUGUCCAAUAUUCCCCACUGCUGCCUCCCGUAGGAGUCUGGGCCGUGUCUCAGUCCCAGUGUGGCUGGUCAUCCU
rnacentral:rRNA from 1 species